rnacentral:rRNA from 1 species
GGCGGCGUGCUUAACACGAUGCAAGUCGAACGAAGCACUUAUUUGAUUCUUCGGGACUGAUAUUUUGUGACUGAGUGGCGACGGGUGAGUAACGCGUGGGUAACCCUGCCUCAUACAGGGGGAUAACAGUUGGAAACGACUGCUAAUACCGCAUAAGCGCACGGUAUCGCAUGAUACAGUGUGAAAAAACUCCGGUGGUAUGAGAUGGACCCGCGUCUGAUUAGCUAGUUGGUGAGGUAACGGCUCACCAAGGCUGCGAUCAGUAGCCGGACUGAGAGGUUGAACGGCCACAUUGGGACUGAGAUACGGCCCAGACUCCUACGGGAGGCAGCAGUGGGGAAUAUUGGGCAAUGGGCGAAAGCCUGACCCAGCAACGCCGCGUGAAGGAAGAAGGUCUUCGGAUUGUAAACUUCUUUAUGAGGGACGAAGGACGUGACGGUACCUCAUGAAUAAGCCACGGCUAACUACGUG